rfam:Acanthamoeba castellanii str. Neff unplaced genomic scaffold scf7180000084753, whole genome shotgun sequence.
AGGCCUGUGGCCCAAUGGAAAGGCGUCUGACUACGAAUCAGGAGAUUCUGGGUUCGACCCCCAGCAGGCCUG